rnacentral:rRNA from 1 species
GUGACCUCAAAUCAGGUAGGACUACCCGCUGAACUAAGCAUAUCAUAAGCGGAGGAAAAGAAACUAAC